UUUUAUUUGCUUGAUGCUUGUUUUGGAAGUUAAAGCAUUGUCAUCCAUUCCAUCCUUUGAGGGGGAGAUUGUAGGGUUUCAAAGCACUCCAUGGAUGAUGGCAAUGGGCCCCUUUGAUGAAUUCUAGGUUAAAUGCCCAAGACUUGUCUUUUCCCUAUAAAUAGUCAUGUAUUAUUCACAAUUAGGGUUAAGAGUGAGACAAAAUGUAGCCGCCACGUGAGGUUUCUUAUGUAGUGUUAGAUUCUUUAGUCUAUGCUGAAAGUGUAAUUUAUUCCUCAUGUUAUGAAUAAAUCGAGUGAUCAUUCGACAUAAUCUUCAUAUUUGUGUUUGUUCUUAUUUUCCGCAUCUUGUUCAUCAAAUCACAAUUAGGGUUUUAAUCCUAACAAGUGGUAUCAGAGCGGGUCUUUAAAGAUCUACUGAUUUUUGAAGUAUCGGUUCUUGGUUUGGUGAUUUUACCCAAGUUAUUGAAGAUUAUUGGUGUUUUGGCGGUUUGGAAUCAAGGUUUUUUUUUUCUACUGUUCAUGAUGAUUUAAGGUGUUCUUCUACUGUUCAUCUGAAAAAUAAUGAUUCCAUCAAGUCUUGGCGGUUCGGAAAGUCAUUUUUCGUGAUAACGACAAAUUUUCACGACUUUUUCGAUUUUAUACUUUAUUGUGUAUAUCAUUUUGUCGCGGGGGAGCUUAGUAAAUUUUUAUCCAUUCAAGAUCAUUCUCAUGACCACUUGAAGGCUUUAUAAUCAUGUUUUUGAUUAUAAAUCGGGGGAGAAUUUGGUAUGGUCAUUCGAAAUUGGAUUUGUGACUUUUCAAAGUUGAGGAUUUUUGAUAAAGCUUGUGGUAGAAUUAUGAAGGUAGCUUUUACAGUGGAAGUUCUUCAUCGAGCUCUGCUAAAGCUUUUACAGAGAAGUAUCCUUUACAGCGGAAGUUCUUUAUCGAGCUCUGCUAAGAACUCGUUAUAUCUCCGACUUCUAGUAUUUUCUCGAUCAAGUGGCAUUACAAAUCUUAAAGUUUGGGUUGUUACAUGACAUUUUUUGAUGGCUUAUAUCAUUAGCUUAUUUGAAGAUCAUUGUGACUUGGAAGGGGAGCUCUUCAAAGACAAGAAGUGAUUCGGUUUCUUUGUUCUGAAAUGGGUUUUUAUGGCGGGUUUGGUUUUCAUGAAGAUUCUUUGGGAUUACAUUCGAAAAUGAAGUUUAAAGACAUUACUUCAGUGCUUGAUUUAUAUAUCCUAGAGCCUGUGUUUGAAGACUAUUGAAGAAUCAAGAUUCGAGGAUUGCUUCAUAUAUUCCUCGUUGCAGAUCUUUUUAUUUGCUUGAUGCUUGUUUUGGAAGUUAAAGCAUUGUCAUCCAUUCCAUCCUUUGAGGGGGAGAUUGUAGGGUUUCAAAGCACUCCAUGGAUGAUGGCAAUGGGCCCCUUUGAUGAAUUCUAGGUUAAAUGCCCAAGACUUGUCUUUUCCCUAUAAAUAGUCAUGUAUUAUUCACAAUUAGGGUUAAGAGUGAGACAAAAUGUAGCCGCCACGUGAGGUUUCUUAUGUAGUGUUAGAUUCUUUAGUCUAUGCUGAAAGUGUAAUUUAUUCCUCAUGUUAUGAAUAAAUCGAGUGAUCAUUCGACAUAAUCUUCAUAUUUGUGUUUGUUCUUAUUUUCCGCAUCUUGUUCAUCAAAUCACAAUUAGGGUUUUAAUCCUAACAAGUGGUAUCAGAGCGGGUCUUUAAAGAUCUACUGAUUUUUGAAGUAUCGGUUCUUGGUUUGGUGAUUUUACCCAAGUUAUUGAAGAUUAUUGGUGUUUUGGCGGUUUGGAAUCAAGGUUUUUUUUU
rnacentral:lncRNA from 1 species